rnacentral:tRNA from 1 species
UAGAUAUUAGUAAAACUAUUACAUAACUUUGUCAAAGUUAAAUUACUGGUUAAAACCCUGUAUAUCUUU